rnacentral:rRNA from 1 species
UACGUAGGGCGCGAGCGUUGUCCGGAAUUAUUGGGCGUAAAGAGCUCGUAGGCGGCUUGUCACGUCCGAUUGUGAAAAGCCCGAGGCUUAACCUCGGGUCUGCAGUCGAUACGGGCUGGCUAGAGGUGUGGUAGGGGAGAUCGGAAUUCCUGGUGUAGCGGUGAAAAUGCGCAGAUAUCAGGAAGACACCUGAGGCGAAGGCGGCUAUCUGGCGGUGCACUGAGCGAGGCGCGAAAGCGUGGGGAGCAAACAGG